UGCUUCCGCCCAGGGAUCUCAGAGCCAGUAACCCCCACCAGAGCUCUCCUCCACAUAACGGCCACAAUCGUUUGGUCACCCAAGUUCCAACAAGCCCGCAAACAGCUCAGAAUUGCCUUCCCCACCGCACCUAUUCGGAGGCUCAGCAUUCAUCAUGGAAGUAGACGCAUCUACUAUGACCACCAGGGCCCGCUUCAUUUGGUGGUACCAGAUGUGGGCUGAAAUUCAGACUUAGCUUGACUGACGUGACUUCUGCGCUUUCACCAAGGCACCACGCACCAAACUUCUUGGCAUCUCAGGCCUCUGGAGACCCUGCCCUGGCCAUGGGCAACCAUUGCCAGGAAUUUCACUGAUUCAAAUGGCCACAGGAUGGAACUGACUCUCAUAGAUCACCUGAUCACGAUGGCGCGCUUCAUCCCCUUGUGAACGUGUACCGUCGAUUGAGAGGACAGAUCAGUUCCGAGUUUGCAAAGGCCAAUGACAUCUUUAUUUUGCUAAAUGUAGCUUUCCCACUGAUUUCAUGCCACGCUACGAACGGCCUCUCCGAACUUCCCAGCUAUCGACCUGGGUCACCGUCAAGAAGAAUGAAGGGAGCCCCUCGAGGACACUAGGAAGGAGUUCAGAUAGUGUCCGGUCUGCUGAUGACAAGAGGGAAGCCAUUUGCUGAAGGGAGGUUCUGGGAUCUGUCCAUGUCGCCUACAGCAAUGCAGCCUGCAGCUGGCCCGGCUUGGGGAGCCAUAACCUCAUCCUGUAAAAUCGAGAAGUACUGGCUCUCACUGAUGCGUAGAUGGAAAACCACACACCCCACCCGGAGGUAGAAGCCACCCAUUCCCAGGUUGUCCCGAGGAGCCAUGAUUCCUCCAGGAGCUGGGGCAGGGCACGGUGAUCAGUUUGUCAGAGGAUUCCCACUGGCUGUUCCAAUCCAGGAGGAAAACUCACAGCACCGGUGCAGUGAAGUGCCACUGAAACCCGCUGUGAUGCACAGACCUUGUCCUGGCUGUCUGCACAGGGCUGAAUUUCACCCCUUCAAAGUGUUAGAGCUCACCAUCCAUUGUGGAG